rnacentral:tRNA from 1 species
GCCGAAGUGGCGGAAUUGGUAGACGCGUGCGGUUCAGGGCCGUAUAAGCGGCGAGCUUGUGGGGGUUCGACUCCCCCCUUCGGCACCA